GCAAAGAGUGCCAAAGAUGAGCCUGAGUGAGAACAUGAGGGUGAAGCUGAAGAAGCGCGUGGACGUGGCCCUUCCCGCACCAGCCAUCAGCAGUGGCAAAUGUCAUCGAAUAAGUGGAACAGGCCUCGGGGACCACGAGGGCCGCAUCCGGGCACCGCACACAUCAUGUCACAGACACUGCAGGCUGGGCCGGUCGUCGGCCCCUGGGGGGAAAGCCGGCCCCACAGAGGGGACCCCAGCCUCUCACACAGAGACAGCAAAUGGUAAGCGUUUGUGCGCUUAGACUCAGCUGAAUCAAAUGCAGAACGGGAUGGUUACAUGUUUAAAAGGCAAAAAAAGCAAAUAAAUCCUUCCCUGAAUUUUGUGAUUGAA